rnacentral:rRNA from 1 species
AUCCUGGCUCAGGAUGAACGCUGGCGGCGUGCCUAAUACAUGCAAGUCGAGCGAACGGACGAGAAGCUUGCUUCUCUGAUGUUAGCGGCGGACGGGUGAGUAACACGUGGAUAACCUACCUAUAAGACUGGGAUAACUUCGGGAAACCGGAGCUAAUACCGGAUAAUAUUUUGAACCGCAUGGUUCAAAAGUGAAAGACGGUCUUGCUGUCACUUAUAGAUGGAUCCGCGCUGCAUUAGCUAGUUGGUAAGGUAACGGCUUACCAAGGCAACGAUGCAUAGCCGACCUGAGAGGGUGAUCGGCCACACUGGAACUGAGACACGGUCCAGACUCCUACGGGAGGCAGCAGUAGGGAAUCUUCCGCAAUGGGCGAAAGCCUGACGGAGCAACGCCGCGUGAGUGAUGAAGGUCUUCGGAUCGUAAAACUCUGUUAUUAGGGAAGAACAUAUGUGUAAGUAACUGUGCACAUCUUGACGGUACCUAAUCAGAAAGCCACGGCUAACUACGUGCCAGCAGCCGCGGUAAUACGUAGGUGGCAAGCGUUAUCCGGAAUUAUUGGGCGUAAAGCGCGCGUAGGCGGUUUUUUAAGUCUGAUGUGAAAGCCCACGGCUCAACCGUGGAGGGUCAUUGGAAACUGGAAAACUUGAGUGCAGAAGAGGAAAGUGGAAUUCCAUGUGUAGCGGUGAAAUGCGCAGAGAUAUGGAGGAACACCAGUGGCGAAGGCGACUUUCUGGUCUGUAACUGACGCUGAUGUGCGAAAGCGUGGGGAUCAAACAGGAUUAGAUACCCUGGUAGUCCACGCCGUAAACGAUGAGUGCUAAGUGUUAGGGGGUUUCCGCCCCUUAGUGCUGCAGCUAACGCAUUAAGCACUCCGCCUGGGGAGUACGACCGCAAGGUUGAAACUCAAAGGAAUUGACGGGGACCCGCACAAGCGGUGGAGCAUGUGGUUUAAUUCGAAGCAACGCGAAGAACCUUACCAAAUCUUGACAUCCUUUGACAACUCUAGAGAUAGAGCCUUCCCCUUCGGGGGACAAAGUGACAGGUGGUGCAUGGUUGUCGUCAGCUCGUGUCGUGAGAUGUUGGGUUAAGUCCCGCAACGAGCGCAACCCUUAAGCUUAGUUGCCAUCAUUAAGUUGGGCACUCUAAGUUGACUGCCGGUGACAAACCGGAGGAAGGUGGGGAUGACGUCAAAUCAUCAUGCCCCUUAUGAUUUGGGCUACACACGUGCUACAAUGGACAAUACAAAGGGCAGCGAAACCGCGAGGUCAAGCAAAUCCCAUAAAGUUGUUCUCAGUUCGGAUUGUAGUCUGCAACUCGACUACAUGAAGCUGGAAUCGCUAGUAAUCGUAGAUCAGCAUGCUACGGUGAAUACGUUCCCGGGUCUUGUACACACCGCCCGUCACACCACGAGAGUUUGUAACACCCGAA